rnacentral:rRNA from 1 species
AUUGAACGCUGGCGGCAGGCUUAACACAUGCAAGUCGAGCGGAGCGAGGGUGCUUGCACCUUAGCUUAGCGGCGGACGGGUUAGUAAUGCUUAGGAAUCUGCCUAUUAGUGGGGGACAACAUUCCGAAAGGAAUGCUAAUACCGCAUACGUCCUACGGGGGAAAGCAGGGGAUCUUCGGACCUUGCGCUAAUAGAUGAGCCUAAGUCGGAUUAGCUAGUUGGUGGGGUAAAGGCCUACCAAGGCGACAAUCUGUAGCGGGUCUGAGAGGAUGAUCCGCCACACUGGGACUGAAACACGGCCCAGACUCCUACGGGAGGCAGCAGUGGGGAAUAUUGGACAAUGGGCGGAAGCCUGAUCCAGCCAUGCCGCGUGUGUGAAGAAGGCCUUUUGGUUGUAAAGCACUUUAAGCGAGGAGGAGGCUACUAGUAUUAAUACUACUGGAUAGUGGACGUUACUCGCAGAAUAAGCACCGGCUAACUCUGUGCCAGCAGCCGCAGUAACAC